rnacentral:rRNA from 1 species
AGGAUAAACGCUGGCGGCGUGCCUAACACAUGCAAGUCGAACGUCUCUUUCUUCGGGAAGAGGAGUGGCGGACGGGUGAGGAACACGUGGGAACCUGCCCUUUAGUGAGGAAUACCGGCGAGAAAUCGCCGACAAGACCGCAUAGCCCUCUUUGAUGAGAGUCAAAGAAGGAAAGCUUCGCAAGAGGCGCUAGAGGAGGGGCCUGCGUCCGAUUAGCUAGUUGGUGGGGUAAGAGCCUACCAAGGCGUCGAUCGGUAGCUGGUCUGAGAGGACGAUCAGCCACACUGGGAUUGAGAACGGCCCAGACUCCUACGGGGGGCAGCAGUGAGGAAUUUUCGGCAAUGGGGGAAACCCUGACCGAGCAACGCCGCGUGCAGGAAGACGGCCUUCGGGUUGUAAACUGCUUUUCUUGGGUAAGAGAACGGACGGUACCAGAGGAAUCAGCCCCGGCUCACUACGUGCCAGCAGCCGC